AAAACUAAUAAGAACUAGGGUUAUUUUCUAAUCUAAAGGAGUGUUUAAUCUAGGCUAAGCUAUGUAAUCUCCCUUUAUUUUAUGCCUUACAUCAUGUAUUUAUAGGUUACAAGUACAAUUUUUAGUUUUGGAACAACCCCUAUCCUAUUUGGAGUCAAAAAGGUGUCAAAAUUCGCCCAAAACGCGUCCAGGCCGCACCAAACCCUUCCCCCAGCGCCCCAGCGCUGGGCAACGGCGCUGGAGUCUGCCCCCUAGCGCCCCGGCGCUGUAAAAUACACUAAAAAUCGCGCCCCGGCGCUGGCCCAAAAUCUGACAUUUUCUGCUCCGACGUCCUUUGGGAAAAUGGCCAUAACUUC
rnacentral:lncRNA from 1 species